GGGACUAUUGUGUAGAGCUACGUAUUUCCAAUAGUAAAUCGAGAUAAGGAUAAGAUUGUAGAACUAGGAUUAAUAAGACAGACAAAAAAAAAAAAAAAGUAAAGUAUUAUAACACAAAAAGGUGAAAAGACAAGGAGAUAGCGGUCCCUCGAUUAAUUACACUGUGUAAAUUUCGAGGACGAAAUUUUAUUUAGAGGGGAAGAAUUGUAACGUCCUCAUCAAAGGUAGUCCGUACAUUUUACUGUUCUGAUGACUAAUGUCUAUACGGACAAUAAAAAUGUCUGGAACUACACUUAAACUAUAGUGAGGAGGCAUAAAUUAAUGAAAUAAAUAUUAAAAAAAUAUAGGAAAAAUUUUGAGAAAUAAAAUAAAAUUUAGAGAAUUUAUUUAUUUGGUACAAAAAUAAUAAAAAUAACCCGAUAUGCACCAUGAAAGGCAUUUUGGUCAUUUCACCCCUAGAUGUGAAUUUUGACUUAAAUGUCAAAUUAAAAUUUGGAAAUAGAAUAAUUAACAUAAAUUAAUUUUAUGAAUUUGAAAUUGAAAAAUGAGAAGAGAAAGAAGAAGAAAAGAAAAGAAAAGAAAAGGAAAGAAAAGAAAAGAAAGGAAAGAAAAGAAAAGAAAGGAAAUAGAUUUAUGAAAUUUAAAAACAAUAAAGUACACAUAAAUAUAUAUAUAUAAAUACCCACAAGAGACAAAACCCACCAACCCUCUUCUUCUUCCUCUUCUCUCUCCCUCCUUGCCGUCUCCCUUAGUGUCUCCCUCCCUCCAUUUUUGUUCUUCUUAAAGCUUGAUUUUCCAAGCUUUCUCCUCCCCAAAACCCAUAGACCCCUUCACAAAAAAUUUAGCCCACACCAUAAGGAAGCUUUAGAUACCCAUUAGAAGAAGAAAGAUUAAAGUUUGAAGUGGGUCACAAAAGGUACUGAAGAUCAGCAGCCGCCACAGUAGUAUUCGGACAGAGUUCCGACCAGAUCUGCCACCGAUUAGAGUCACCUCAUCAGUCUUUUGUAUUUUGGUAGGGCCCAUGUGUAGACUAGUAUUUUGGUUCAUUAUGUCUAGUCAUGAUGUAAUUACUAGUUUAUGAUGUAUUUUAUUUUGGACUUGAAAUGAAAACUUAUAAUUUAUUAUCUAUAAAUUUCCAUAUGAAUGCAA